UUCGCUUCUAUCGUUGCUCAAACGUGAAACCGUUAACGCCAGACAUAGCUAACGUUAGUUGGUUUUUACUAGUUUGUACUUAGCUAGCUAUCCUGCUAGCAUUGUAGCAAGGCAACUACUCACCUCGCGCAACUCACUGGGUGUCAAACUCAAGUGGCACCCAGACCUGUCAUUCCCUUGUUUUUGUUACAUCAUUGGAUACAUUGUAUUCCUUUUGUUGUUGUAAGCUUCUAAUUUUACUCAAGUUUUAAUGCUUACUGUCCCUUUACUUGUAUCUAUCAACUUCUAUUGUGAUGAAAUUAUUUCCAUUUGUCCAUUAGCUAAAUUUUUAUUUGAAGCCUAUGGCUUGUACUUGACAUGGACAGCAAUGUGAAACAAAAGUUAAAGGUGCUACACAAUAUUUUAGCGGUUUUCCAGUCUAAAGUUCUUCGGAGGCUGUACCAUAACUCCCAAGCCUGCGAAAGAAUCCAGCUCUCCACCCCCUGAGACCUCUAUGAAACAAAACGUAGGCCUAGAGGAGGAGGGCACGAUCACUGGAGGUAGAGGGAUAACACUGUCCUCAGCCCAGCCAGGCAGACGAGUGUACACAGUCCUAGCUCCCCCUGCAGAUUACAAGAUGGGUGCAGAGGGAUCUGUCAUGCUCUCAGCCAGCAGGCAUAAAUACUGUGGAGGACCCAGUUGAUGAGAACACUCAUGAGUCCAACAAAGAUGGAGAGGGAGAAGAAGAGGUAGAAGAAGACAACGACGGAGGAAGUAAUAAUAAUAAUAAUAAUAAUAAUAAUAGGAACUACAGCUCCAGGAGGUGAGACAGUGGUGGACGGAGCGGCCCAGGGUACAGACUCUAAUCCUGGGGAUACAACCAUGCCUCCGACCCCCAUGGAGGAAGGAGUGUGGCUCAGCAAGAAGAGGAGGAAGCUGAAGAGGAAACAUCACAAACAGAAGCUCUUGUCUCUGGGUCUGGUGCCCCAUGCUGCAGCUCUGGAGUUCACCUACGAGAGAGGGGGGGGGAGAAGAAGAAGAAGAAGAAGAAGAAGAAUAGGAGGAGGAAGAGAUGAGGCAGAGAAGAGCAGCUGAAGUGAUAGACUUCCUCAGGACCACACAAGAGAUCUGAUCGCUCAUCGCCUGCAAGCAGGCUCCUCUGUGGUAGUGGAGGGCCUUCUGAGCCUGUCCACUGGAACAUUCCCCCCUGCUGUUUUGGCCCAGCUCCACACCCUCAAGCUCCUGGUGCAGCAACAGGACACAGCAAGGAUGGCCAAGGCUCUGCAGGAGCUCCAGAACAGCUCUAUCAUGUCUCCUGAUGAUGACACUGCAGUUGUGUCACUGUUUCAAUACUGGAUCACAGACAUUCCGCCCAUGCAGAGAGACUGGAAAACAGGCCAACCUACAACACAACCUUCCUAGUCGAGCCAACCAACAACGCAGCCUUAGACUUUCCUAGAUGUUCAGGGUUUUAAACAAUACUGCUGAUGGAAAACGUAUCUGACUUAAUUCAUUGUGAGCCCAUGUAACGGAGUUAAGAACAUACCGUAAGCUCACUCCACAGCUAGCUUGAAAUGUCGCGGACGGAGCCAUCCAAUUGGUACCUUUUGGGUAGCUCAAACCGUUGGAAUGUUGUCAAGGAGGGCGGUCACGUGUGUUAGCAAAGCAGAGGUCCCGAGUUCGAGCCAGGUACGAGCUGAAUCAGGGGGAAGUGAUACUCGCUAAGCAAGCAACGUGAUAUCUGUAACACCAACAACCAUGAACAGUAAAGCUGUGAACUGUUUGAGAAGACUACUGUCUUGAUAAUGCCACUAUUGAGUUACUGUUCAAGUUGUUUCAACAGCAUGUUUAAUAAUUUUUUUUUAAAGAAAAUUAUUUUGGACAUAUUUAUUUUAAUGCACACUCGUGAAGCUGUUCAUUAUGACUUGAUAUACAUGGAAAUGUCUGU